GUCCACGCCCUAAACGAUGUCGACUAGGUGUUGGGGAAGGAGACUUCCUUAGUACCGCAGCUAACGCGUGAAGUCGACCGCCUGGGGAGUACGGUCGCAAGAUUAAAACUCAAAGGAAUUGACGGGGACCCGCACAAGCGGUGGAUGAUGUGGAUUAAUUCGAUGCAACGCGAAAACCUUACCUACCCUUGACAUGUACCGAAGCCCGCUGAGAGGUGGGUGUGCCCGAAAGGGAGCGGUAACACAUGUGCUGCAUGGCUGUCGU
rnacentral:rRNA from 1 species